rnacentral:rRNA from 1 species
CCUACGGGAGGCAGCAGUGAGGAAUAUUGGUCAAUGGACGAGAGUCUGAACCAGCCAAGCAGCGUGAAGGAUGACUGCCCUAUGUGUUGUAAACUUCUUUUAUAUGGGAAUAAAACGUUCCACGUGUGGGAUUUUGUAUGUACCAUAUGAAUAAGGAUCGGCUAACUCCGUGCCAGCAGCCGCGGUAAUACGGAGGAUCCGAGCGUUAUCCGGAUUUAUUGGGUUUAAAGGGAGCGUAGGUGGAUUGUUAAGUCAGUUGUGAAAGUUUGCGGCUCAACCGUAAAAUUGCAGUUGAAACUGGCAGUCUUGAGUACAGUAGAGGUAGGCGGAAUUCGUGGUGUAGCGGUGAAAUGCUUAGAUAUCACGAAGAACUCCGAUUGCGAAGGCAGUUCACUGGACUGCAACUGACACUGAGGCUCGAAAGUGUGGGUAUCAAACAGGAUUAGAUACCCGAGUAGUC